GAUGAACGCUGGCGGCGUGCCUAAUACAUGCAAGUCGAGCGAACAGACGAGGAGCUUGCUCCGCUGACGUUAGCCGCGCACGGGUGUGUAACGCGUGGAUACCCUACCUAUCAGACUGGGAUAACUUCGAGACACCGGAGCAAAUCCCGGAUAAUCUAUUGCACCGCGUGGGUCAAUAGUGAAAGACGGUUUUGCUGGCUGUUAUAGCUGGAUCCGGGCCGCAUUAGUUGGUUGGGAAGGUAACGGCUUACCAAGGCAACGCUGCGUAGCCGACGUGAGGGGGUGUAGGGCCACAGUGAAAGUGAGACACGGCACAGGCACCGACGUGAGGCAGCAGUAGGGAAUGUUCCGCAAUGGGCGAAAGCCUGACGGAGGAACGGAGCGCGAGUGAAGAAGGUCUGCGUAUCGUAAAACGCUGUUAGGGGUGAAGAACAAAUGUGCAAGUAACGAAGCACGUCUGGACGGUAUCGAUUCAGAAAGCCACGGCAAACUACGU
rnacentral:rRNA from 1 species